CUAAAUUCUAAAUGAAUUAAAUGGAUAAAUGGAUUCUGUUUUAUUGUUGCAUUAUUUUUUUAUAUUCCGGGCAUUUGUGCUUGUAGAUAGCCACAUAAUGUACUCACAUUUAAACACAUUAUGUACACAUCAUUUUUCUCUUCUUACUGACUGCUCACAUUGUUUUUAAGUCACACUGUAACUAUCCAUUCUUGCAGCACUAUAUUCUAUAUGCUAUAAGCACUUUAUCUACCUCUCAUUCAUGGGCAAUUUAGAAUCACCUAUUAACAUAACAUGCAUGUUUUUGUACUGUGUGAAGAAGCUGUAAACCCACACUAGGUACUCACAGUUUUUUCUUUGUUUGUUUGUUGUUGUUGUUUUCCAGGAUAAAAUCUAUAAGUUCUUCAAAUAAACCCCAUUGAGUUUGUUUGGAAUGGUUUUGUUUGUUUGUUUGUUUUGUUUUGUUUUUUCUUGUGGCAAAGACCUAAUUGUUUUUCAGUCAAUGUCCUUAACCAAGUUAACCGAGUAAGAGAUGGAUGGAUGAACAGACAUCAGAACCCCUGUAAAGAAGUAAUUUUGGCAUUCAUGCCUUGCAGAAGUAUCAAUCUGCUGUUGUCUGUUUUAAUACAUUGUUGUUUAGUAAGGCCUCCAUCACAACUACAUCUGUUCUAAAAGAGCUUCUUAGGAGAGACAUUUUUUCAUUUUUUAUCAAUACAUAUUAUUGUUUUUUAAAGAUAUAUUUUCCAUUUAUCAUAAAAAAAAGUUACAGUAAAUGAAGUUCUAAGAAUGUAAUUUAAUUUCGCUGCCUAAACAAGACCAAAAUUGUUGUAAUUGAUGAUUUUAAAGAGGUUCAGAAGAAGUUGCACCCGCCUUUGUGAACAGAGAGAAAGUAUCUGAUGGGGUACCAAGAGAGGAACUGCGGUGUUGCAUGGGGAAGUCUAUAUUGAUGUGGUGAGCUGUGUGGUAGGAGUGGCAGAUGGAUUCAAAUUGUAUAGAUUUUAGACAUUGUGAUCUUUAGUGAUAGUAGAGAUCAAUCGGAAGACAGCCUGGAGAGGUGGAGCCAUACUCUGGAGACAAGAAGAAUUUAAGUCAUUAUAGAAU
ensembl:lncRNA